CGGCCGGGCACGACGGUGCAACGGUCGCUCUCCUAUUCCCGUCGGGGCUGCGGAGCCCGAGGGAGGGGUGAGCGGGUGAGGUGGGUCGAGAGGGAGAGGCGGAGGGGGAGCGAGAGGUCUAGCGGCGAGUGGGAGGGAGGAGCGGCUUGCGGUAGCACCGGUACCGGCGGCACAUCGGCGCUGGUGGCGGAGGGGGUUCAUAGAGGCUGGAUGGGACGUCGUGACGGCGCCAGGCGACGAAGCUGACGCGGUGGUUUAGCUAGGGCCCUUCGGUAGGGAAGCUGCGGUGGCUAGAGGAGGUGGAAGCCGGCAGCGUGCGACGUCGGUAUCGGUUGUCGGAGGGGCUCGGCGCUCAACUCCGGGAUCUCCUGGUGGUAGUAGCAGACGUAGUAGAUGCUCCUGAGCAAGCUGGUCUCGGCGUGACGGUGUAGCUGUAACCUGGAAGAAGGAGGCGUCGUCGGUGGCCAGCGCCAGCAGUUUAAGCGGUAGCAGUGCAGCAGGGGCUCGGGCGACGGGGGGAAUGUUUGUAUAUACGACGUUGAUCUACCAACUCGGGUCCUCGGUCUACCAUGACGGCUGCUGAUGAUGAUGGGGCUGCCUCUGAUGAUGAUGUACCACUGGCCGUUACUGAUCCUCAUCAACUCCUCCGAGGGCCCGUCCUCCGGAACGGAAAAGCUCGCAACUAUGAAAACACGAUCGGAAGAAUCCCGUUUGAACAACUUGAGUACAGACGUGAGUCUAUUACAACGAAGGCGACUGAGCAAACAUAAGCUCGGGAGCUCCGGGGACCGAACAUUAUAUUUCGAACAAAAUAAAAUUAAAAACAGAUCUCAACACAACACUAUAGAAGGACAUUCAGGGACUAGAACUAGUAUGUGUAAACGUACAUACUAAUCAAUGAUA
rnacentral:rRNA from 1 species